AUUGAACGCUGGCGGCAGGCCUAACACAUGCAAGUCGAGCGGCAGCGGGAAAGUAGCUUGCUACUUUUGCCGGCGAGCGGCGGACGGGUGAGUAAUGCCUGGGGAUCUGCCCAGUCGAGGGGGAUACCUACUGGAAACGGUAGCUAAUACCGCAUACGCCCUACGGGGGAAAGCAGGGGACCUUCGGGCCUUGCGCGAUUGGAUGAACCCAGGGGGGAUUAGCUAGUUGGUGAGGUAAUGGCUCACCAAGGCGGCGAUCCCUAGCUGGUCUGAGAGGAUGAUCAGCCACACUGGAACUGAGACACGGUCCAGACUCCUACGGGAGGCAGCAGUGGGGAAUAUUGCACAAUGGGGGAAACCCUGAUGCAGCCAUGCCGCGUGUGUGAAGAAGGCCUUCGGGUUGUAAAGCACUUUCAGCGAGGAGGAAAGGUUGGUAGCUAAUAACUGCCAGCUGUGACGUUACUCGCAGGAGAAGCACCGGCUAACUCCGUGCCAGCCGCCGCGGUAACAC
rnacentral:rRNA from 1 species